AGCGAACGCUGGCGGCAGGCUUAACACAUGCAAGUCGAGCGGCCGUAGCAAUACGGCAGCGGCAGACGGGAGAGUAACACGUGGGAACGUACCCUUCAGUUCGGAACAACCAAGGGAAACUUUGGCUAAUACCGAAUACGUCCGUAAGGAGAAAGAUUUAUCGCUGAAGGAUCGGCCCGCGUCUGAUUAGCUAGUUGGUGAGGUAACGGCUCACCAAGGCGACGAUCAGUAGCUGGUCUGAGAGGAUGAUCAGCCUCACUGGGACUGAGACACGGCCCAGACUCCUACGGGAGGCAGCAGUGGGGAAUAUUGGACAAUGGGCGCAAGCCUGAUCCAGCCAUGCCGCGUGGAUGAUGAAGGCCUUAGGGUUGUAAAGUCCUUUUAACGGGGAAGAUAAUGACGGUACCCGUAGAAUAAGCCCCGGCUAACUUCGUGCCAGCCGCCGCCGUAACAC
rnacentral:rRNA from 1 species